UUUUUUGCGACUGAAUGACGUCAUCGGCGCUUGUUACUCUGAUUGGAUAAAUCCACGCGCGCUCACUGAAUAUUCAUGACCUCGCGCGCCUCCACUUGUAUACUAUUAAAUUUAAAACGGUGCGUAACGGUUCCCGAAUAGUUUUAACAGUUCCGAGAAUCGGUGAGAACAGAGAACGUCCAAAAGGAACCAAAAUAACAGCUGGUUACAAAUUCAUUAUCUGCUAUGGAAAUCGAUAAAACAGGUUCCACCAUGAAGAUCAACUCCAACCACUUCCCCAGCAAAUUGUGGCAUUUGGUGAACCAUCCACAGAUUUGUUCAAUCUGCUGGGACGAAACUGGGGAAGGAAUACUCAUCGAUCAGGGAACCUUCGAAGCUGAAGUGCUGUUUUCUUCUAAAAGCCAGAUGAGACAGUACUUCAAAACAACAGACUUCACCAGUUUCGUUCGUCAGCUAAACCUUUACGGCUUUAGGAAAAUGCGCCCAGACUUUGCGGUCUCAGAGAAGCGACUCGACAGCACUUCCAUCUAUGCUCAGACGCACCAUUAUCACAACCCAAACUUCAAACGUGCGAACCCGGAGUUUCUGGUCAACCUGAAGCGACUCACGGCUCUAAACAAGGCCAGGCUUGCCGAUGGUAUAGAGAUGCCCAGACAGUCAUUCAGGCCUUUCCAUUAUCCGAUGCUGAAUUCACCUGAUGCGAUGAAAAAUGGUUGGUAAAGUCUUCAACAAGAAUGGGCAGUACAAAAUAUAUUUAUUCAUUCAUCUUCAGUAACCGCUUUAUCCUGGUCAAGUUCACGGUGGAUCCAGAGCCUAUCCCUAGAAAACUGGGUGCCCUGUUUGGAACGGCGGACCAUCACACACACAUUCACACCUAGAGGCAAUUUAGCAUAAUCAAUCCACUUACCGGCAUGUUUUUGGAGAAAGUAGGAGGAAACUGGAGAACCCAGAGGAAACUCAUGAGGAAAACAUGUACAGACAUUCCACACAGACAGUAACACGAGGGUUGAACCAGGGGACUUGAAUCUACAGUAUAUGGAGGAAAUACUAUCCGGUACACCAUUGUAUUAGCUGAACUACCUCUCACACUCGGAAAACUGUCUAUUUAGAAAAACUCAGUUUUUUGCUGAGCGAGGAAAUGGAAAGAAUGAUUAGAAUUUAUUUUAAAAAAUACGUGCUUCCUAAUUUGAAAAAGGUAGGACAUAAUGCAACCUACCCUCAAGCAUAGUCCACUGAUUUCUGGGCCCCCUGUGCAUGUCCGGACUCCUUGGACCUGCUUUCUCGCAUUCUCUAGAAACUAUUUUUUUUUUUUUUAGCCCAGGUCCUUUGAAAGACUGAAUAGGCAAAACUACUAUUUCACUAUUCCCUACAUAGCCUUAGGGGGCUAAAAGGUUCAGUCUUUGAUGAACAUCAGAGAACGCCUUACCACCAUCGCGGAAAUGACUUUCAGCGGGUGAAGGAGUGUGACAGAACACCAAAACCCUCCCAAGAAUUUGUAAUGGGCAUUGGCGAUCCGGGCUCUGUGUUCCGCCACUUCCCGAUGGACUCUCCGCCGUGUGCACAUCCAUCCAGCCCCAUGCAUAUGCAUCAUGGCUCACAAAGUGCAGUGCCUACUGCAAUGUUAGGUGCCUUCAUACCUCAUCAAUCAGAGUACAGAUUUUACUCACCAGUGUAUCAGUGCUAUAGCCCAGGCUUUUAUGAUUCAAAUAUUCCAUAUUCCCAACAGCCAGCUGCCUCCUACGCUCACUGUCGCUAUUACCCUGACUUCUCAGUCAGCUACUUCCAAUGCACUGGUCAGAAUCCAAACUUUCAAGCAGGUGAUGCUCCAGAUCCCAGGAAGAGUUACGUGAACCUGGACACUGUAUUCAAUGUGGCAGAUGAAAUGCAGGCUUCUGCUGCUUCCUCCAAUCUGCCCACCAAUGAAAAGUCACCUGUGAAGACAGUUUGAGUAGCCACCUCAUUUUUAUUUGAUAUGUAAUGAUUGAAAAUGUAUGGUUGAGUGAAUGCCUUUAUUCCAUUUCCUGACAACAAGUCACUCUUGAGUAGAUGAUUAUCAGUUUCUAUAUAAAAAACCGGUUCGAUUCCUUUCGUAAUUAUUCUAGAUUAUUACACAGGGUUUGAAAUGCAGCUAUAGCUUGCACAAGUUUUAAUGAUCAAAAUGAACUUUAGUAUUUCCUUUAGAUGCCUGUGCGUAUUGAAGACAUGAAUGAUAACUUAUCGAACAGCUCUUUUAUUUUAUUGCAUCAGUUAUUUUCCCCUCAAGGAUAAUCUUUUAUUUUAAAUAACAUGCCAAAUUUGUAUAAAUUUACCAUUUGUACAUAAGUCUUUUAUUUAAGAUAACUUGCAAAAAAAAACCUUUUUAUGUAUUUAUAGUACUGUUUAAAUUUAAAUAUAAUUUUAGUGGUAGUUUGAUUCAGGGAAUUGAACAAGUGAUAUUUUAAUGCCAACUUGUCUUAGUAACAAAUUCUAACUGUAUUUUAAAGCAUGCACUGCUGAGGCACUUGAUGCAUGAAAUGUAUUAAAGUGAUUUUAUCUUAGAUCUUGUCGUUUCUAUCCACUCACUUGGUGAGAUAUUGGAAAUAAGCUGUGAGCAAUGCUCUGAUAUCCAAAGAUAAAGCUGAAUAAAUCGGAAUGCAGUACAUUACUGAAUAUGCAGCGGUAUACCUCAGAGUUAUUUGUGGUGUGAAAGUGGUGUAGAACAUGUACAAAACGAUACACAGUGCCACAGAGGUUUAAGUCACAGAGAUUGGUCAGACCUUACAAAGUGCUUUGAACUGAGAACAUUAUGUAAUG